rnacentral:rRNA from 1 species
GAUGAACGCUGGCGGCGUGCCUAAUACAUGCAAGUCGAGCGAACGGACGAGAAGCUUGCUUCUCUGAUGUUAGCGGCGGACGGGUGAGUAACACGUGGAUAACCUACCUAUAAGACUGGGAUAACUUCGGGAAACCGGAGCUAAUACCGGAUAAUAUUUUGAACCGCAUGGUUCAAAAGUGAAAGACGGUCUUGCUGUCACUUAUAGAUGGAUCCGCGCUGCAUUAGCUAGUUGGUAAGGUAACGGCUUACCAAGGCAACGAUGCAUAGCCGACCUGAGAGGGUGAUCGGCCACACUGGAACUGAGACACGGUCCAGACUCCUACGGGAGGCAGCAGUAGGGAAUCUUCCGCAAUGGGCGAAAGCCUGACGGAGCAACGCCGCAUGAGUGAUGAAGGUCUUCGGAUCGUAAAACUCUGUUAUUAGGGAAGAACAUAUGUGUAAGUAACUGUGCACAUCUUGACGGUACCUAAGCAGAAAGCCACGGCUAACUACGU